GAUGAACGCUAGCUACAGGCUUAACACAUGCAAGUCGAACGAGACCUUCGGGUCUAGUGGCGCACGGGUGCGUAACGCGUGGGAAUCUGCCCUUGGGUUCGGAAUAACUCGCCGAAAGGCGUGCUAAUACCGGAUGAUGUCGUAAGACCAAAGACUUAUCGCCCAGGGAUGAGCCCGCGUAAGAUUAGGUAGUUGGUGAGGUAAAGGCUCACCAAGCCGACGAUCUUUAGCUGGUCUGAGAGGAUGAUCAGCCACACUGGGACUGAGACACGGCCCAG
rnacentral:rRNA from 1 species